rnacentral:rRNA from 1 species
GACGAACGCUGGCGGCGUGCUUAACUCAUGUAACUCGAACGGCAAGGCCUGCUUUCCCUUGUUGAUUGCGGGUACUCGCGUGGCGAACGGGUGAGUAACACGCGCGUGAUCUGCCCCCAACUUGGUUAUAAGCCCGGGCAACUUGGUCUCAUUACCGUUAGGACUGCAGGGUGGUGCGUGCGGUGGACCACGACUUUCUCGUGGUUGUGGAUGAGCUCUCGGCCUAUCUGCUUGUUGGUGGGGUAAUGGCCUACCAAGGCGGCGACGGGUAGCCGGACGGGGACAGUGGACGGGCACAGUGGGACUGAGAUACGACCCAGACGGCUACGGGAGGCAGGAGUGGGGGAUAUGGCACAACAGGUGGAAGCCUAACGCAGCGACGCCGGGUGGAGGAUGACGGCCUUCGGGUUGUAAACUCCUCUCGACCGCGAGGAAGCCACCUGGUUGGAAGGGUGGUGACGGUAGUGUGAGAAGAGGCAGCGGCUGACUACGUG